rnacentral:RNase_P_RNA from 1 species
UUAUUUAAAGUAGAGGAAAGUCCAUGCUUGCAUAGACUGAGAUGUCUAUAGUGUUUGUGUAAGUAUAUAAAAAAUAAAACUUAACAACUAAAGAAAUUUAGUUGAUGGCGGAGAUUAAUUCUAAGUAGAUUUCUAUAUGAACUAAUUUCUAUAAAGUGCCACAGAGACG